rnacentral:rRNA from 1 species
AACAGGGAUUGCCCUAGUAACGGCGAGUGAAGCGGCAACAGCUCAAAUUUGAAAUCUGGCUCUCGGGCCCGAGUUGUAAUUUGUAGAGGAUGCUUUUGAUGCGGUGCCUUCCGAGUUCCCUGGAACGGGACGCCAUAGAGGGUGAGAGCCCCGUCUGGUUGGAUGCCAAAUCUCUGUAAAGCUCCUUCAACGAGUCGAGUAGUUUGGGAAUGCUGCUCUAAAUGGGAGGUAUAUGUCUUCUAAAGCUAAAUACCGGCCAGAGACCGAUAGCGCACAAGUAGAGUGAUCGAAAGAUGAAAAGCACUUUGAAAAGAGAGUUAAAAAGUACGUGAAAUUGUUGAAAGGGAAGCGUUUAUGACCAGACUUGGGCUUGGUUAAUCAUCUGGGGUUCUCCCCAGUGCACUUUUCCAGUCCAGGCCAGCAUCAGUUUUCCCCGGGGGAUAAAGGCUUCGGGAAUGUGGCUCUCUCCGGGGAGUGUUAUAGCCCGUUGUGUAAUACCCUGGGGGGGACUGAGGUUCGCGCAUCUGCAAGGAUGGGCGUAAUGGUCAUCAACACCCUUGAAACACGGA